GAUGAACGCUGGCGGCGUGCCUAAUACAUGCAAGUCGAGCGCUGAAGGGUGGUACUUGUACCAACUGGAUGAGCAGCGAACGGGUGAGUAACGCGUGGGGAAUCUGCCUUUAAGCGGGGGACAACAUCUGGAAACGAAUGCUAAUACCGCAUAAAAUCUUUAAACACAAGGUUCAAGUUUGAAAGAUGCAAUUGCAUCACUCAAAGAUGAUCCCGCGUUGGCUUAACCAGUUGGUGAGGUAAAGGCUCACCAAGGCGAAGGUACAUAGCCGACCUUAGAGGGUGAUCGGCCCACUUGGGAAUGAGACACGGCCCAAAACCCUACGGGGAGGCGCAGGAGGGGAUUCUCGGGCAUGGGGGAAAGUCUGGACGGGCAAAGCCGGGGGGGUGGAGAAGGGUCUCGGAUCGGAAAAAUCUGUUGGUAGGGAAGAAAGUUAGUGAGAGUGGAAAGCUCAUCAAGUGACGGUACCUACCCAGAAAGGGACGGCUAACUACGUG
rnacentral:rRNA from 1 species